rnacentral:rRNA from 1 species
GAUGAACGCUAGCUACAGGCUUAACACAUGCAAGUCGAGGGGCAUCAUGGGAGUUGCUUGCAACUUCUGAUGGCGACCGGCGCACGGGUGCGUAACGCGUAUCGAACCUUCCCCUUACUCGGGAAUAGCCCGGUGAAAACCGAAUUAAUGCCCGAUAUAUAUUUAGAUGGCAUCAGAAGAGUAUGAAAGAUUUAUCGGUAAGGGAUGGCGAUGCGUAGGAUUAGGUAGUCGGCGGGGUAACGGCCCACCGAGCCUACGAUCCUUAGGGGUUCUGAGAGGAAGGUCCCCCACAUUGGAACUGAGACACGGUCCAAACUCC